UUUCCGUAGGUGAACCUGCGGAAGGAUCAUUACCAAAGAUGAUGUCGGCACAACCCACUCGGGGGCCCCAAAUUCCACCCAUGUCGGCCAAACGGCCCCAUGGGUGAGACGGGGACAGGCCGGCACGACCCACACCACAUCCGUGUAUCUUCCCUGUUGCUUCGGCGGACGCGACCCGUCGCGCCCGUCGGAGGCUCCAACAAAAACCAUUCUGUAUCGUCAUGCCCCACAAGUCUGAACAUCAAUCUAAUAAAAGAUUAAAACUUUCAACAACGGAUCUCUUGGUUCUC
rnacentral:misc_RNA from 1 species